rnacentral:misc_RNA from 1 species
GGGGAGUCUAUCGGACCCCCAAGCAAACACAUCUAUGUGUACUCUGCCAUGUUGCUUCCCCAGCACCUGUGGCCACUGCUGCCAGCCCAGCCCCUAAUGGGUUCCUGGGUUGAGGUGUCUGGGGAAGGGCUCAAUAUCAAACUUUUCAACCCACUAGUCGUCUGAGAAGGCCAUGUGCCGCAAUAUUUAAACAAGUUAAAACUUUCAACAACGGAUCUCUUGGCUCUCGCAUCGAUGAAGAACGCAGCGAAAUGCGAUAAGUAAUGUGAAUUGCAGAAUUCAGUGAAUCAUCGAAUCUUUGAACGCACAUUGCGCCCUUUGGUAUUCCUUAGGGCAUGCCUGUUCGAGCGUCACUAAAAACCGACUCACAUAUCGUGUGGUAUUGGUAGAAGUGGAUAGUACUAACACUACUUUGUCUUACUCUGCUGAAAUGAAUAGGCCAGAAAAGUGGACCAUGGUAAUAGAUUCCAGGAGUGUUUUAAAAUGCUAUACUAGUCUUAUCCAAGUCAUAUUCUGAGCCACUGGACCCCCCAUUUAGUCCAAACAACAGUGGUUGACCUCGGAUCAGGUAGGGAUACCCGCUGAACUUAAGCAUAUC